rnacentral:rRNA from 1 species
GUGUCAGCAGCCGCGGUAAGACGAGGGGUCCUAGCGUUGUUCGGAAUCAUUGGGCGUAAAGCGCAUGUAGGCGGCCUUAUAAGUCGGAUGUGAAAUCCCUGGGCUUAACCCAGGACGUGCAUUCGAUACUGUUUGGCUUGAAUAUGGGAGAGGAUAGUGGAAUUCCUGGUGUAGUGGUGAAAUACGUAGAUAUCAGGAGGAACACCGGUGGCGAAGGCGGCUAUCUGGCCCAAUAUUGACGCUGAGAUGCGAAAGCGUGGGGAUCAAACAGGAUUAGAUACCCUAGUAGUCC